rnacentral:RNase_P_RNA from 2 species
GAAGUGCGCCAGGCCGCCGCCGGUGCAAGCGUGGCAACACGGCACUGGAGGAACGUCCGGACUGCACAGGGCAGCGUAGCAGGUAACACCUGUCCACCGUGAGGUGAGGAUCAGAGCAACAGAGACGAGUCGCAACCAGCCCCCGGGCCGGCUGCGGGUGAAACGGGCAAUCUCUACGCGCAGCAAUACCAAAUAGGCAUGCGUUGAACUGGCUCCGGCGAGCAUGCGGGUAGGUAGCACCGAGCCGGUUGGGUGACCACCGGCCCAGAUUAAUGGCGGUCACAUGGCCUUUGCGGGCCAUGCACAGAAUCCGGCGUAUCGGCGCGCUUCACAC